rnacentral:rRNA from 1 species
CCGUCUUGAAACACGGACCAAGGAGUCUAACAUGUGCGCGAGUCAUUGGGUCACACUAAACCUAAAGGCGCAAUGAAAGUGAAGGCAGCCUCGGGUUUGCCUAGGUAGGAUCCUUUUUUCUCUUUCGAGAGGAGGCGCACUACCGGCCCGUCUCGUCCGCGUUGCGGUGAGGCGGAGCGAGAGCGUACACGUUGGGACCCGAAAGAUGGUGAACUAUGCCUGAGUAGGACGAAGCCAGAGGAAACUCUGGUGGAAGUCCGUAGCGAUUCUGACGUGCAAAUCGAUCGUCGAACUUGGGUAUAGGGGCGAAAGACUAAUCGAACCGUCUAGUAGCUGGUUCCUUCCGAA